AUUUUUAGUUACAGGAAAAUAUCUGCUCACUAUUUAAUUUGUUCUUAAAAUAUGCCCUCUUGGUUUAAGAACACCUUAAAAGAUAAUUCAAUUUUUUUUUUCGUCUCUCUUUUCACUAAAUGAAAGAAUCAAUUUCUAGAUGAUUUUUAAAGAUUUUUUUCCUUCCUCUUCCUACUUUAUGAAGCCGUUUGUAACAUCAAAUGGCAAAAAUCUCUCACAUGAAGAAGCUGAGGUGGCAGGUGAAGGAUUAUUAGAGUUAUAAUUAUGAGAGGGGUUUGUGAAAGCACUCAGUGUAACUGAAUGUAAAUUCUAGGGCAGUUUGCCUUGUCUUAGUGUAGGAAAUAUGAAAAGGAAGCCACAACAGUUCUGAGAAUGCAAGAUUUUAAUUUUCUUUUCAGUUACUGAAGGAGUUUGAGACCAGUUCUGUAAAUGUACAGAACGUGUUUUUUUGACUUAUUCUGAUUAAUAAGAAAUUGCAACAGAACUGCUCAGAACUGUGGGAAAGCUCAGUGGCAAUUUUUGAAAAAAGGCCUUGGAAACAUAUUGGCCUUCUAAAAUAGAAACAUCCAAAGCUGCCAGUCUUAUUUUCCUCCAUUUUUGGCUUUGCAAUCGAGGUUUGUGAUUCUCCUGUUUUCAUUAUGUGCAGUAUUGUGUGGAUCCAUUCUAAUAAAUUCCGUUACUUGGAACAAUGAGAUGGAGCAUGAUUCAAAUCCUGAAUUAAAUGCAAAUCUAGCAGCAGAAAAAUGGAUUUAGUGGUAUGAUAAGAUUUGUAAUACAAAUAUAUUGCAUUAAAUAUAAAGUUUAAUUAAAUAGAAGAAUAUUGUAAGGACUGCCUUUCAAACUAGCAUUGUAUCUGUGACUAAACGUGUGCAGUCUGAGAACAGUGUGGAAAUUACAUGCUGGUGCCUUUGGAAGCAACAUAUAAUAUAUAUUUUUGCUUAAUUUUGGACAAAUGGUCUGUGUCUGCAGAAGACAUCUUUUCUUCAGGGUCAUCAAUGCUGGUUUUGAUACCAAAAGUAUUCAAAAAUUUAACUUUGUGAAUGAAAUUGUGAAGUCUCUCCCAAACAGAUUUACCGCAGGACCAUUGCAUUAUUUCUUUGAACUUCAAAACAGAAGAAGAACAGAUUUCAAAUCAUAUCAGCAGCCAGAUAAGUACAAUCUUAAUUGCAAUAUUGAUAUGGAACAACUUUAGAGCUUUAUGGCUGUAUAGUCCUUUGUACUAACGUGUGGAUCAGAGUAACACACAAAGAAGUUGGGCUACAAACCCAGGACAAUAUUCCUACAUUUCUGCUCAGGAAUGAACCUUAGUUGCAAGGGAAGAAAAAAUGAUGUUGCUAUUUUCCUAUUCUUUUAAUGGGGAAAGGGCUUUUUUUUGUUUUGUUUGCUUUUUGUGAGAAAUACUACUUUGUACAUACACAAGGGAAUUCAAAUAAUGAAUUGAUGUUUAGAAACAUGCAAGACCAUUGCGAUUUCUUUGCUUUGCAAGUAAAUAAAUGUCAUAGGUACAGAAAAUGUAGCCCUGAGGAAACAAGUGUCCCAUUUUCAUUAUGCCAAACAACUUUCUUGACAAGGGGACAACAUUUUCUGAACAACAUUUUGGCAAUAGAAUGCUUUAAAAGGCAUUUUAUAAGGCUACACAAUCCAAACUAUUUACUUUUCUUAAGUGAAGUAUUUGUAGCAACUAGGAAGUAAGGGAACAGGAGGGAAAAGUUUCUUCCUGUUGUUUCACUGAUGGUGAGGGAAAGUGAGUGCAGGCACAUUUGAGUUGCUGUGAUUGCACACAAACAGCACCUGCCUCCAUUUGCCACAGCCAUAUGAGAAUUGGAGACAAAACUAGAAUUGCUCAAUGUUUUCAGAAUCCAGAACAACAGGUCAUGACUAAAUACUGCCCUCCUCUAAUUUAAACUUAAGGAGAGCCACAUACUUGGAUUGAAGUGUAAAUUCAAAUUUUUGAAUUUAGCUUGUCUUCUAAGUAAUUCUGGCAAAUGUAUUUUCUUUAAUGACUCUUCUCAAGCAGAAAUAGAUACUGAAAUUAAAAGUGACUCAUGGAGUCCUAAGGAAGGCAAGAUUCUGCUUAUAUUUUAAAAUUAAUUUGAAAAUUUCUAAAUAUCAGUGACAUUUUUGAAAGUGCUGAAGAGUUCUGCUGUGGGAUAUAAAAGUGACUAUCUUGCUUUUAGCUCAUCUGUCUUUCAAAGAUAUGUAUCUGAAACUUUGGAUAAAUAUGCAGACCCUAAGAUAGACAAAAUACUGAUAACUGUCAAGGAUUAGGCCAUGCAAAACUAAACAUGAUUUUCUUUGAAGGUCAUUCAAAUUUUAAUGUUGCAGGUAUAUAAUAUGACUCAUUUCUUUAUUUGAAAUUAAUUAAAAUAUUUAAUAUAUUCAGCAUACAUCACCAGAAAAGUCAUCUACUCUUUGGAUAGAUGGGGUUCUCUUGUCAUACAAGAAAUGUUAAUAAUAUUGAUCCUAAAAAGAAAUAGUUUCAAAAAUAAAACAAUUGAAAUUUGAAAAUAAAUGUGUUCAGGUUUCCACUUACAUGCUGCAGUACUUCCUAAUCACAUAACAGUGUCACUCCUGCACACAACAAGCCAUCAACUAUUUUUAUUUUACCCUAAGCCUUUACACAAAGUAUUAAUUUACUUUGCAGCAUAAUGGAACCAGUUCUGCUGUCAGCACAGAGAGCUGCUGUGCACUGCAUCAGAAAGAGAGAUGACAGAAAUUCCAGCAGCAGCAGAAUUUAAAUGUCUCGCCUGUAAUUUUGCUCAGUGGCAUCUUUGUACAUCUGACAUGUGAAAUAUGUCUUUAGCUUUUGAGACAACAAAUGACAUUUGGUUUUGCUAAGAAGGCUUAGCAAAGGAAAGGCACAUUCGAAAUGUCAUUUGUGUUACCACAGAGGUGUCAUCUGAAAAUGAGCCUAAAUAUCUUUGGAAUAUCUUAUUACUUGGAAAUUUUUCCAAAAAUACCAUUAAACAAUUCAAUUUUUUUCCUUCUAGAAAUGCAGACAAGUGGACCUAGUUUUAUGCAUUUAUUUCUCCACUAUUUUUUACCCCAGCCCUCCCAAUUCAGUUGUCUUGGAAAAUGCCAAAACAUGAACUGAUUUCUGAGAAGACAAUGAAGAGCACAGCAAAACCUGAGCACAUUUCUAUCCCAUUUCAUUACAGUAUCUAGUGUAUUUUGAACUUCCAAAAGUUAAACAUCCUGUGGGCACAUGAGAAUAGGUUUAAAUAGGUUUUAUUUAAAAAGACCAGUUUUGCUGAAUUAAAAACAUAAACAUAGUUGUUUGGAAAGACUAAAAGCCUUUUCCUUUUAGUCUUUCCAAACAUUUUCAUUUUUUCAUUUAUCAAUGUGAUAAUAAGAUUUCCUUAAAAACAGAUGAACUUCAAAUGUCCUUAUCAUUAGCAUGCUGGUAUUUUCCAGUAUUUGUAUUUGCUGGCAACCUUUUUGUCCUUCCAGGAGAGAGCACUUAUACUUAUUUACACAAAAUAAAGCCAGCUUCUCUUUGUAAGUUCAAUAUUUUGGGCAAGCAGUAAUAUACCAGUCUUCUAGCCAGUCUUAGCAGGAAAUAGUCCUAGUGCUGAUCACAAUGAGAUGACUCGUGGUCUCAGCUCAUUUUGAGAAGUUUAGUAAACAUGUUAUCUCUAGCACAGGGCUGAUGUAAUGUUUAUAAGUUCAGUCUGUCCUUUUUGCCAUUGUUGGUGAUACUCUUGUUACCAAAACAGCCUAAAAGUCUUUUCUUCAUCAUAACCUUCUGAAGGUCACAUAGAGAUGAUGUUUCAUCAUGAUCUAAUAUUUGAAACACAUUUUUAAAGAGAAAUCUUCCAUGCUGUCAAAACACCUCCCUGAAUUUAAAACUUUAAUUCUUAUAAUAAAACUUGAAUAACUUGAUACUGCAGACAGCUUUUAAUUCAUCACCUGAUGUCUAUGUAAGUAAAAUCCAUUUUGUCUAGAUGAUGAAUAAGGUGGGUUAUCUGUAUGACUGAAAAUGUUUACUUAACAUUAUGGUUAGAUGAGCAUCUAUAUUUGUUAACAUAAGGAUCAAUACAUGUCCCUCAGGACACUUGAGCUGACAUAAUCACAGAGGAAAAACUUUAAGUAUAAAGUAGAAAGAAAGAGAAAAAACUCUGCAGCCUGGAUAACCUGUUCUGUAGAGGUUCUGAAAAGGCAGCAGGUUUGUUAAUACUCUUUUUACACUCAACAUAUUUUCCAUUUCAAACUAUCUUUAGAGUGUUUGAAUUGUGACUAUGAUCACAUCACACACACUUUUCUCCCUUUAAUUUCUAGGCUUGUAGCCUAUCAGUUUAAAUGAACUCAGUGUAAUCCUGGCACUCCAGGCUGCAGUGACUCCAUCACCUCUGUGCUCAUGUGUCACCAUCUGGAACCUCACUAGAAAUGCUGCCAUGGAAAAUCAACCCAGCUCCUCAAUCCUGAGCCGUGUCAGGAGGUCUCUAAGAAGGCUGGAAUAACACAAGUGAAAAGAUCCUUCCAACAUAGUGAGCAAGAACUGAAAGGCAGGAAAGCUGCUGAAGAGUCACAUGGCCUUGAGGAACAAGGCAAAGCUAUUCUGCAUUAGAGAAAGGAAAGAGGUUGAACUCUGUUAAGUUCUUGCCACAAAAAAAACACCAACAAAACAUUUGUUAAAAACAACAGUGUCAGUAAAAAGGAUCAAUUUGCAAGAAGUUUAUGCUUUUUGUUCCAGCAGACCUGCUUUUAAAAAUAUUUUAAAAUACAUUAUUCCAUACUUGAAAUCAAACUUAGUCAAGCUCAUGAGGUCUUUUUGUUUUGUUUUGUGUUUUUUUUGGGUUUCUCCCUUGCUAAAUGCCUUACAAAGUAUGAUUACAUACUUUACAUAAUUUACAGCUUACAAAGGCUGAUCUACAGGAAACAAACAUUUGAUCACUUAAAAAUAAAUGUUCAUCUUUCUAUCAGA